rfam:Triticum urartu cultivar G1812 contig666302, whole genome shotgun sequence.
UUAAUACCCCCUUUGUCCGGAAUUACUUGUUGUAGAAAUGGAUGUAUCUAGAUGUAUUUUAGUUUUAGAUAUAUUCAUUUUUAUCUAAUUAUGUGACAAGCAAUUCAAGACGGAGGAAGUAAUUC